GUGCGAUAUGUAGUGCGAUUUGCAUGAAUCUGUGAGUCAUCUAAUCUUUGAACGCAACUUGCGCCUCUCUUUGAGGCAUGUCUGUUUGAGUGCCAUAAACAUCCCUGCAGCAAUGCGAUCUGACUGUUGUCCCCGGACUCGGUCUAAAAGUAGCCAGGUAAUGGCUUGUGUAGUCUAGCCCGAGUGCUAAGCAUUCUUGGUGCUAGUACGGCGCAGGCUAUGAUGGGUGGGUGAGUGGGUAACUACUACCCCUCCCUCUAUUAUUUUGGCCUCAAAUCAGGCAAGAUCACCCGCUGAACUUAA
rnacentral:misc_RNA from 1 species